rnacentral:rRNA from 1 species
AGUGAACGCUGGCGGUAGGCCUAACACAUGCAAGUCGAACGGCAGCACAGUAAGAGCUUGCUCUUACGGGUGGCGAGUGGCGGACGGGUGAGGAAUACAUCGGAAUCUACUUUUUCGUGGGGUAUAACGUAGGGAAACUUACGCUAAUACCGCAUACGACCUACGGGUGAAAGCAGGGGAUCUUCGGACCUUGCGCGAUUGAAUGCGCCGAUGUCGGAUUAGCUAGUUGGCGGGGUAAAGGCCCACCAAGGCGACGAUCCGUAGCUGGUCUGAGAGGAUGAUCAGCCACACUGGAACUGAGACACGGUCCAGACUCCUACGGGAGGCAGCAGUGGGGAAUAUUGGACAAUGGGCGCAAGCCUGAUCCAGCCAUACCGCGUGGGUGAAGAAGGCCUUCGGGUUGUAAAGCCCUUUUGUUGGGAAAGAAAAGCAGCAGGUUAAUACCCCGCUGUUCUGACGGUACCCAAAGAAUAAGCACCGGCUAACUUCGUG